CCAUUUGUUUUUUUGGUGAAAACGGAGUUUCAUAUAGCUAUAUCUCGCCGCCUUUGAAAGGCUGGAGUUUGCUGCUUCCGUUGGUUAGAGAAAACGUAGCACUGCCAAGGUGCUUUGGUGGUACCCCCGGAGCCAGAAGCGGAGACGAAGAAAGAGAGAGAUGGCGCUGGCUGGACUUUACCGGCGAACCCUCCCCUCCCCUCCGGCGAUCGAUUUCGCAUCCCUCGAUGGGAAGCAACUCUUCGCAGAGGCACUUCAGAGUGGAAAUGUGGGUGGAUUCUUCAAGCUAAUUUCUUACUUCCAAACACAAUCUGAGCCCGCAUAUUGUGGAUUAGCCAGUCUCGCUAUGGUCUUGAAUGCCCUUGCAAUCGAUCCAGGAAGGAAGUGGAAAGGUAGCGCCAAGUUUCUGCAACCCUUCAAUUAAAAAAAUAGAAAUUCAACCAUGCAAUUUAGUUUGCUGAAUAGGAUUAGAUGCUGAUUUCAAAGUGCAAAGAAGAGCAUUUGAGGACAAGGAUGUUCACCAUGGUUACAAUGAAGUAGAGAAAACCAAAAGUAUGACUUGCCUUGUUUAUCUUAGAUUUGUCAUACAGACUAUAAUAACCCAGGACCUCAUCCAAAAUGGCUAGCCGGAAGGUAUUAUUUGGGUUCCUUAAUCCUGUAUAAGUAUCCAAGAUCUACCCAACGAAUAACCGAUGUGGGACUA